rnacentral:lncRNA from 1 species
UAGCAGCAGCCGUGGUGUCUGUUCAGGCGGGUGGGACGGGAUCAAGUGCUUGAAGGGACGAGUUAUUGCCAUCGAGCUUCCUUGGAAAGGACUCGGAGGCGAAAUCUCGGACAAAAUCGGGCAGCUGCACGAGCUAAGAAGGAUCAGCCUGCACGACAAUGUACUCGUUGGAACGAUCCCCUCGUCUCUCGGCCUUCUACAAAAGCUCAGAGGCGUUUACCUCUUUAACAACCGGCUUAGCGGCUCGAUCCCUGCUUCAAUUGGUAACUGCCUUGCUCUUCAAGCUAUUGAUGUCAGUAACAAUUUGCUAACCGGUACGAUUCGGCCUAGUUUAGCAAACUCGACCAGGCUAUAUAGGAUGAACUUGAGCCACAAUUCUUUAACUGGAACCGUCCCAGUUAGUUUCUUCUCUCUUUCAACUUCUUCUCUGGUUUUCCUAGCUCUUGAGCAUAACAAUCUCUCUGGUUCUAUCCCAGCUAGUUUAAGCAAGCUAGGGUUGAUUCAGGAGAUCACUCUUGAUCAUAAUCGGAUUACCGGAGCGAUACCGGAUGAACUCGGAAGGUUGUCGAAUCUCCACAAGCUAGAUCUUUCCUACAAUGCUAUCAAUGGAACCAUCCCUUCAAGCUUUGCCAAUCUAUCCUCUCUAGUCUCGUUGAACCUGAAAAACAACAACUUCCAGGGCACCAUUCCACCUUUUAUAGCGAACAUAUCCACACUUAACGAACUCGAUCUGUCUCGAAACGACUUGAGUGGAGAAAUUCCUUCUUCCUUUUCUCAUCUAGCCUAUCUCAACGUUUCCUACAACAAUCUAUCCGGCACCGUUCCGUCCCUUCUGGUCAAGAAGUUCAAUGCGACAUCUUUCGUCGGAAAUCUUCAACUAUGUGGCUAUAGUCCAUCAACACCUUGUCCUUCAUCCUCACCCAUCACUCUUCCAUCCCCACCACCAUCGUCGAAUCCAUCGAUAACUCACCAUGCUCGCCGCAAGCUUAGCAUUAGAGACCUUAUCCUCAUCAUAUCAGGAUCAGUGGUGGCUUUCCUACUUCUACUAUGCUGCUGUCUAGUCUGCUGUUUGACGAUGAAAGGCAAUGGUGGAUCGAAGCAAAAGAACGGUAAAAUCACAGCCUCUGGAAAAGGAUAUAAGCCAUCUGUUGAUUCCAAACACGACAUUGAAUCGGGGAGCGAGAUGGGAGGCAAAUUGGUACAUUUCGAUGGGCCAUUCAUCUUCACAGCGGACGAUUUGCUCUGUGCAACUGCUGAGAUCAUGGGGAAGAGCGCGUACGGAACUGCAUACAAAGCAACAUUGGAAGACGGCAAUCAAAUCGCAGUUAAGAGAUUGAGAGAGAAGUCAACAAAAGGUCGUAGAGAAUUCGAAGUCGAAGCUGCUUCGAUCGGGAAGAUUCGUCACCCCAAUCUGCUACCUCUAAGAGCUUAUUACAUUGGUCCUAAAGGAGAAAAGCUUCUGGCAUUCGAUUACUUGACUAGAGGGAGCCUCUCAUCCUACCUCCAUGGUAAUAAAAACUUAAACAAGUCUAUGUAUAAAAUGCAUGAUUCAAUAGACUAGCUUAAUUUGAGCAUAUUUCAUUUCAAUUGCAGCUCGUGGACCAGAGACGAUCAUCGACUGGCCAACAAGGAUGAACAUAGCAAUGGGGAUCGCACGAGGUCUGAACCAUCUCCACACAAAGGAAAACAUAAUCCACGGAAAUCUCACCUCAAGCAACGUGCUCCUCGACGAGAAGACGAACGCACACAUCGCCGACUUCGGGAUCCCACGGCUGAUGACAGACGCCGCCGCCGCGACAAACGUGAUUUCCACCGCAGGAACACUAGGUUACCGAGCGCCCGAGCUCUCAACGAAGGUGAAAAACGCCGCCGGCACGAAGAGUGACAUUUACAGCCUGGGAGUGAUCAUUCUGGAGCUG